rnacentral:rRNA from 1 species
CCCCUCUUGGCUGACGAGUGGCGGACGGGUGAGUAACGCGUGGGAAUCUGCCUAGUAGUUGGGGACAACCUGGUGAAAACCAGGCUAAUACCGAAUGUGGUCUACGGACUAAAGCAGGGGAUCUUCGGACCUUGCGCUACUAGAUGAGCCCGCGUUAGAUUAGCUAGUUGGUGAGGUAAUGGCUCACCAAGGCGACGAUCUAUAGCUGGUCUGAGAGGACGAUCAGCCACACUGGGACUGAGACACGGCCCAGACUCCUACGGGAGGCAGCAGUGGGGAAUAUUGGACAAUGGGCGCAAGCCUGAUCCAGCAAUACCGCGUGUGUGAAGAAGGCCUGAGGGUUGUAAAGCACUUUCAAUUGUGAAGAAAGGUUGUGGAUUAAUACUCUACAAUUUUGACGUUAACUUUAGAAGAAGCACCGGCUAACCCUGUGCCAGCAGCCGCGGUAAUACAGGGGGUGCGAGCGUUAAUCGGAAUUACUGGGCGUAAAGCGUACGUAGGCGGAUAUUUAAGUCAGAUGUGAAAGCCCCGGGCUCAACCUGGGAACUGCAUUUGAAACUGGGUAUCUAGAGUUUGGUAGAGGCGGGUAGAAUUCCUAGUGUAGCGGUGAAAUGCGUAGAUAUUAGGAGGAAUACCAGUGGCGAAGGCGGCCCGCUGGACCAAAACUGACGCUGAGGUACGAAAGCGUGGGGAGCAAACGGGAUUAGAUACCCCGGUAGUCCACGCCGUAAACGAUGUCAACUAGCCGUUGGGCUCUUCGGAGCUUAGUGACGCAGCUAACGCGUGAAGUUGACCGCCUGGGGAGUACGGCCGCAAGGCUAAAACUCAAAUGAAUUGACGGGGGCCCGCACAAGCGGUGGAGCAUGUGGUUUAAUUCGAUGCAACGCGAAGAACCUUACCUACCCUUGACAUCAUCAGAACUUGUUAGAGAUAACUCGGUGCCUUCGGGAACUGAAUGACAGGUGCUGCAUGGCUGUCGUCAGCUCGUGUCGUGAGAUGUUGGGUUAAGUCCCGCAACGAGCGCAACCCUUGUCCUUAGUUGCCAGCACGUAAUGGUGGGAACUCUAAGGAGACUGCCGGUGAUAAACCGGAGGAAGGUGGGGAUGACGUCAAGUCAUCAUGGCCCUUAUGGGUAGGGCUACACACGUGCUACAAUGGUACAUACAGAGGGCAGCGACCUCGCGAGAGCAAGCAAAUCCCACAAAGUGUAUCGUAGUCCGGAUUGGAGUCUGCAACUCGACUCCAUGAAGUCGGAAUCGCUAGUAAUCGUGAAUCAGAAUGUCACGGUGAAUACGUUCCCGGGCCUUGUACACACCGCCCGUCACACCAUGGGAGUGGGCUGCAAAAGAAGUAGGUAGCAUAACCUUCGGGGGUGCGCUUACCACUUUGUGGUUCAUGACUGGGGUGAAGUCGUAACAAGGUA